rnacentral:rRNA from 1 species
UAACACGUGGGUAACCUGCCUUAUAGUGGGGGAUAGCCUUUCGAAAGGAAGAUUAAUACCGCAUAAGAUUGUAGUAUCGCAUGAUAUAGCAAUUAAAGGAGCAAUUCGCUAUAAGAUGGACCCGCGUCGUAUUAGCUAGUUGGUGAGGUAAUGGCUCACCAAGGCGACGAUGCGUAGCCGACCUGAGAGGGUGAUCGGCCACAUUGGGACUGAGACACGGCCCAGACUCCUACGGGAGGCAGCAUG